rnacentral:lncRNA from 1 species
AACUUCUUGAUAUAGGAAUGAUUGACACAAUAAGUAGUAUAACAUGAACAAUAAUUUAAUACAUGUCUAACUUUAAAAAUACCGAGACAAUACAAUAUAGUAUUUAUUUAAUUUAUUCUUAUCAUAAAUUACAAGAAAAUAAAAGCUUAAAUAAAACAUAGAUUUAUUUUUUAAGUUGAUGUUUUCCUAGGUUGGCAGGUACAAACAAUCCAAAGACACUCUGGAGUAUAAGGAGCGCCACAGUCAUUGUUUUGACAAUCCUCGUUAGUAGAGCAGAACACACGAUCUAUGAUGUUAAAUAAUAAUAAAAGAAUUUAUUAAAAUGAGAUUAACGAUUAUGUAAAUGAUAAAAAAGAUGUAAUUUGAACAUGUCUUGAAAAAAAAACUUACACUUGCAGGUUGCAAGAGCAACUAGAGAAAAAAAGAUGAUCAAACCUUGGACAAAAUUGACAAUUUUAGCCAUAUCUUUUAUUCUCUUGUUAUAUGAUAAAUAGACAAUUAGUCUAUCACUUUAUAAGUAAACCUCUAUGCAUUGUUAACUUUAAUUUAGUAGUUUUUAAUAGUAAGAAGUC